AGCGAACGCUGGCGGUAUGCUUAACACAUGCAAGUCGAGCGCGAAAGUGACUUCGGUCAUGAGUAGAGCGGCGGACGGGUGAGUAACACGUGGAUAAUCUGCCUUUAGGACUGGGAUAACCCUGGGAAACUAGGGCUAAUACCGGAUAAGACCACAGGUUCCAUGGGACCAGGGGUAAAAGGCGGCCUUCGGGCUGUCGCCGAAAGAUGAGUCCGCGUCCCAUCAGGUAGUUGGUGAGGAACGGCUCACCAAGCCGAAGACGGGUAGCCGACCUUAGCGGGUGAUCGGCCACACGGGGACUGAGACACGGCCCCGACUCCUACGGGAGGCAGCAGUGGGGAAUCUUGGACAAUGGGGGAAACCCUGAUCCAGCGACGCCGCGUGACCGAUGAAGCCC
rnacentral:rRNA from 1 species